rnacentral:piRNA from 1 species
UACCAAGGCCAUAGCUGUAUCAGGAUCU